rnacentral:rRNA from 1 species
ACACGACUACAUUAGAUACCCGGUAGUCCUAGCCGUAAACGAUACUCGCUAGGUGUCGGCCACGGUGCGACCGUUGUCGGUGCCGUAGGGAAGCCGUGAAGCGAGCCACCUGGGAAGUACGGCCGCAAGGCUGAAACUUAAAGGAAUUGGCGGGGGAGCACCACAACGGGUGGAGCUUGCGGUUAAAUUGGAUUCAACGCCGGAAAUCUUACCGGGACCGACAGCAACAUGAAGGCCAAGCUGAAGACUUUGCCGGAUUAGCUG